AACGAACGCUGGCGGCAGGCUUAACACAUGCAAGUCGAACGCCCCGCAAAGGGAGUGGCAGACGGGUGAGUAACGCGUGGGAAUCUACCCAGAUCUUCGGAACAACUGAGGGAAACUUCAGCUAAUACCGGAUACGCCCUUCGGGGGAAAGAUUUAUCGGUUCUGGAUGAGCCCGCGUUGGCUUAGCUAGUUGGUGGGGUAAUGGCCUACCAAGGCGACGAUCCAUAGCUGGUCUGAGAGGAUGAUCAGCCACACUGGGACUGAGACACGGCCCAGACUCCUACGGGAGGCAGCAGUGGGGAAUAUUGGACAAUGGGCGAAAGCCUGAUCCAGCCAUGCCGCGUGAGUGAUGAAGGCCUUAGGGUUGUAAAGCUCUUUCAGUGGGGAAGAUAAUGACGGUACCCACAGAAGAAGCCCCGGCUAACUUCGUGCCAGCAGCCGCAGUAACAC
rnacentral:rRNA from 1 species